GAUGAAGAACGCAGCGAAAUGCGAUAAGUAAUGUGAAUUGCAGAAUUCAGUGAAUCAUCGAAUCUUUGAACGCACCUUGCGCCCUUUGGCCAUUCCGAAGGGCAUGCCUGUUUGAGUAUCAUGAACACCUCAACUCUUCAUGGUUUUCCAUGAUGAGCUUGGACUUUGGGGGUCUUGCUGGCCUGUGGGUCGGCUCCUCUCAAAUGAAUCAGCUUGCCGGUUUUUGGUGGGCAUCACAGGUGUGAUAACUAUCUACGCUUGUGGUUUUCCACCAGGGUAACCUUCAGCAGUGGAGGUUCACUGGAGCUUACAAAUGUCUCUCCUCUGUGAGGACAGCCAUUUGAAUGUUUGAUCUCAAAUCAGGUAGGACUACCCGCUGAACUUAAGCAUAUCAAUAAGCGGAGGA
rnacentral:misc_RNA from 1 species